rnacentral:rRNA from 1 species
GGUCACGGGAAGAUUACCCGUUAAUAGAUGUCAGGUGGAAGUCCAGUAAUGGAUGUAGCCGAGGCACACUAACAGACCGAGGGCUUGACCUC